rnacentral:rRNA from 1 species
GACGAACGCUGACGGCGUGCUUAACACAUGCAAGUCGAAGGGAGUGGCGAACGGGUGAGUAACACGUGAGUAACCUGCCCUUUUCUUUGUGAUAAGCCUGGGAAACUGGGUCUAAUACUGGAUGGUUUGGGAUGGGCCCGCGGCUUGUCAGCUUGUUGGUGGGGUGAUGGCUUACCAAGGCUUUGACGGGUAGCCGGCCUGAGUGGGGGGUCGGGCACACAGGGACGGAGAAACGGCCCAGGCUCCGACGGGGGGCAGCAGUGGGGGAUAUUGCAGAAUGGACGAAAGUCUGAUGCAGCGACGUCGUGGGGGGGAUGAAGGCCUUCGGGUUGUAAACUCCUUUCGCCCGCGGAAUGGUAGUGGGUAAAGAAGCGCCGGCUAACUACGUGCCAGCAGCCGCGGUAAUUC